CAGAGACCUCAAGCGUUAUCCGGAAUCAUUGGGCGUAAAGCGUACCGAUAGGUGGUUUGGAAAGUCGGCUGUGAAAUUCCAGGGCUCAACUCUGGAACUGUUCAGCCGAAACUUCUAAGCUAGAGGGGCAAAGAGGAAGCUGGAACGAACGGUGUAGUAGUGAAAUGCGUUGAUAUCGUUCGGAACACCAAUAGCGAAGGCAGGCUUCUGGGUGCCACCUGACACUGCUAGGACGAAAGCGUGGGGAGCGAAUGGGAUUAGAUACCCCAAUAGUCCACGCUGUAAACGAUGUACAUUAGGUGCUAGGGAGUAUCGACCCUCUUUAGUGCCAUAGCUAACGCGUUAAAUGUACCGCCUGGGGAGUACGGCCGCAAGGCUA
rnacentral:rRNA from 1 species